CCUACGGGAGGCUGCAGUGAGGAAUAUUGGUCAAUGGGCGCGAGCCUGAACCAGCCAAGUAGCGUGAAGGAUGACUGCCCUACGGGUUGUAAACUUCGUUUAUAAAGGAAUAAAGUGAGGCACGUGUGCCGUUUUGUAUGUACUUUAUGAAUAAGGAUCGGCUAACUCCGUGCCAGCAGCCGCGGUAAGACGGAGGAUCCGAGCGUUAUCCGGAUUUAAUGGGUUUAAAGGGAGCGUAGAGGGGUUGGUAAGUCAGUUGUGAAAGUUUGCGGCUCAACCGUAAAAUUGCAAUUUAUACUGGCAGUCUUGCGUACAGUUGAGGUAGGCGGAAUUCGUGGUGUAGCGGU
rnacentral:rRNA from 1 species